UUAUCAGGUGCUUUUGAAAUGUGUAUCAAUUCUAUCUGCUUGUCUUUGUGCAGAGUGUGUGGACGCACUUGGGUUGCUCUGGUGGUCACUUUGGUUUGAAGAUUACCAUGUUUCUUUGCUACCGCAAUAAUCGUGCCACAAUGUGCCAGCAUGAAACACCAGAGCCAAUACUAACAAGGUACAUUUGAGAUACAAAUUGAAUGAGAACUAAAUAUUGA
rnacentral:lncRNA from 1 species